UAGCAAGAAAGGUGCAGAGGUCAGAAGUCAGGGAGGGGCUUGGAUGGCAAAACUCCCUUGUCCUACAGCCCACCUUUUCCCACCAUCUGUGCACCAGCUCCCUGUGGGCCUGAUACCACUGCAAAGGGCGUCACUCGGCCACGAGCUCCUGGGAUCCAGCCUGCAGCUCUUAGAAAAAGUCAACCCGUGGAUGAAGCAGAAAGAUGGACAUACCAGCCAGCAUCUCUUGAGUACUCACUCUUUGCCAAGCACUGUGCUGAAUGAUGAACAUAACUGAAUUAAUUUUCAGAACAACCCUGCAAGCGCUGAUGCCUGUGAAUUGCAGUAGGACUCUCAGCCUUGAACUCAAGGAUGGAUCCAGUCUACUCAAGACCUGGGCAAGUUGAAAACAAAGAGAACCAAUGGCAACUAUGGCAGUAGGGAGACAAAGCCUGGCAGCAUUCACAAUUCAGCUUCCUGUACACCAUUGCUUUGGAGGAAUUAAUUUUCUGUGUGCUGUCCCCGAGAAUGGGUGGAAAGUAAAGUAGCAUUCUUCUGAAUGGCAUGGGUACCUUGAGUGGGGGUGUCUGGGAGUAAAAAGCUAUCUCUUUUGUUCCCUGUGUCAAGGUAUAUAUGAGGCAAAAAAGAAAGGGGUCAGGGCAGGGAAUCUUAUUAGAUGUAGUAGACCUGUGCUAAGCAAUUUAGAUACUUAUUUAACAUUAUUAUAAUCCUUCUGAAGUAAAUAUUGUCCCUGUUUUUAAAGUAAGCACCCUCAGUAAGGAAGAAUGCUCUUAUCGGUCAUAUUUUAGGAUGAAAGUAGCACUUUAGACUGCAGAAUGAGAUGUGGUUAUUUAGAUCAUUGACCUAUUGAAUCAACCAACACUGAGCUUCAUCCUGCCUUUGCACUCCCAGUUAAAUGAGCCAAUAAAAAGUGCCAUUUUUGAAAAAGGCAAAGAUAAAUUAAUUAAUUAAUUAAUUAAUAAGGUGAGAAUCCUAAAUUCUGAGUUUCCAAGAGGUUAUAGUAACUUAGCCAAGGUCACAUACUUAGUAGAGUUAGAACUUGAACUCCAACCAUUGUUGCUUCACAAUGACUUAAAAGUACAAAAGAAGAAUAUCAAUAAAUGAUGGUUUGAAAGAAAAAUUAUUUUCAGUCUAAAGUCAAAAGAGCAGGGACUAAUGCAUCUCUUAUGUCAACUGGUGCAAAUUACUAUACUAAGCGGAAGAGGGAGGUCACCCCAUGUGCCACUGUUGGAAAAGGGUGAGACAACCUUCAGGUACAAUGACACGUGAUUCCUCGGGCUAAAGGUGAAUGGGUAUUGAGACCCUCCAAAGCUGGACUGAGAGCCUGAUUGUAAUAAAAGACUGGGCUUCCUGGUGUUUAAAUCUGCUCCAAAUAUACCUAGAGAAGCAUCUCAGCAUAAGACAGAGCUCAUUUUUCCCCACCAGGUGCAGCAGUGGGCUCUUCGGUGUGUGAAGUGAACUGAUUCUCUGUGGCCCAGGGAGCUUUUUAGGUGGGGAGGGCAUGGAAUCAGUUGUGAGUGGGCUCUCAUCCAGAAAUGGGGCCCCACAGGGCCUAUCAGUAGGGGAUUGGUCCAGCCUCUUUCAACCAACCUGAGGAUGUAGGAAGAUAUCCCUCUUCCCUGAGUUGACUCAUAGCUGCCAUAAAGCCUGAGAAGGAAAUCACCGUAGUCUUUAGUCUCUUAGCCUGAACUGACUAGUGUUAGGUUAGAGUUCAGGAAGAACUUCCUGAGUAUGAGCUCUUUGACACUGGACCAUGAACAGCCAAUACUGGCUCUGGAAUAUCCUUUCCUAAAGACUUUAAAGAGCAGCAGAGACACCUAAUUGCUGCCCACAGUACCUGGUAGAAGUGAGGCUCUGCUCCAGCCUCACCUUUGCUUGUUGGUAUUUCAGUAAAAGACCAAUACAAAUAUAGAAUGUAUAAUUUUUACAUCAUUCUUGGCAAAUCCCAGGUGCGUCCCAUUAGCAGAGUUCCAAGGAUGCCAUUUUCUAUCAAGAAAAAGACACGCUGCAUCGUAGUGCUUAGCUCAGGGCCCUAUUAAUAGCAAUCCUAAUUAUAUGGCUGCAAAUUUAAUUCAUAGCAAUGAUUAGUGUCAGAAUCAAAGGCAUCAGGCAUCAAUAUUGAUGGAAUUGCAUAAGCCCCAUAAACAGAGAACAAGCAUUCAGGCCCAUCCCCCCAGUCGUGGUCUGCUGUUAACUAUUGCAUUAAUGUCUCUUCCAAUUUUGCCAGAUCAAAAUGACUCCAUUUCUCAGUGCUCUCCUUGUCCUCGCCGAAACCUUUGCCCAGCCAGCUCUGAAUGGGUAUGACUGGCACACAAAAGAUCCCAGACAAUGUCUCUGAAGAAGAGCCUGGGGGCUCCCAGGGAUGCAUGAGUGAUGGGCCCAGGCCCCACGCUUUACCCGGCAGCUUUUGGCCUUGUCAGCAACACUCCUUUGUCUCCCCUUCAGAAAGCUCAUGGUAAACAAUGAUGCCUGGAGAAAGGGGAGUCAGCUGGGGACUGUGUGUGGCACAAAAGGCUGCCACCCCAUCCAUUGUGACCUGGGCCAAGAGGGGUGA